rnacentral:rRNA from 1 species
UACAGAGGUCUCAAGCGUUGUUCGGAUUCAUUGGGCGUAAAGGGUGCGUAGGUGGCGCGGUAAGUCGGGUGUGAAAUCUUGGAGCUUAAUUCCGAAACUGCAUUCGAUACUGCCGUGCUUGAGGACUGGAGAGGAGACUGGAAUUUACGGUGUAGCGGUGAAAUGCGUAGAUAUCGUAAGGAAGACCAGUGGCGAAGGCGGGUCUCUGGACAGUUCCUGACGUGAGACGCGAAAGCGUGGGGGAGCAAAACAGG